GCUGGCGGCAUGCCUUACACAUGCAAGUCGAACGGCAGCACGGGNAGCAAUCCUGGUGGCGAGUGGCGAACGGGUGAGUAAUAUAUCGGAACGUGCCCAGUCGUGGGGGAUAACGCAGCGAAAGCUGUGCUAAUACCGCAUACGAUCUCUGGAUGAAAGCGGGGGACCUGCAAGGGCCUCGCGCGAUUGGAGCGGCCGAUAUCAGAUUAGCUAGUUGGUGGGGUAAAAGCUCACCAAGGCGACGAUCUGUAGCUGGUCUGAGAGGACGACCAGCCACACUGGAACUGAGACACGGUCCAGACUCCUACGGGAGGCAGCAGUGGGGAAUUUUGGACAAUGGGCGCAAGCCUGAUCCAGCAAUGCCGCGUGCAGGAUGAAGGCCUUCGGGUUGUAAACUGCUUUUGUACGGAACGAAAAGGCUCUUUUUAAUAAAGAGGGCUCAUGACGGUACCGUAAGAAUAAGCACCGGCUAACUACGUGCCAGCAGCCGCGGUAAUACGUAGGGUGCGAGCGUUAAUCGGAAUUACUGGGCGUAAAGCGUGCGCAGGCGGUUUUGUAAGACAGAUGUGAAAUCCCCGGGCUCAACCUGGGACCUGCAUUUGUGACUGCAAGGCUAGAGUACGGUAGAGGGGGAUGGAAUUCCGCGUGUAGCA
rnacentral:rRNA from 1 species